rnacentral:lncRNA from 1 species
CUCCAGCCUCCACCACCACAGUAGCUGGGACUACAGCUGUCACAUCUACCUGCGGAAUUCACCUUAUACCUUAGAGAGAGGCUGCAGUCAGUGACAGCUGAUGGGAAAUGCAUCUGUUCCUUUGAGUAAUUCAGCAACAUCAUUACUUCUCAGAAAUGAUAAUUUCUCGCCGGGCGCAGUGCUCACGUCUGUAAUCCCAGCACUUUGGGAGGCCAAGGCGGGCGGAUCACGAGGUCAAGAAAUCGAGACCAGCCUGGCCAACAUGGUGAAACCCCAUCUCUACUAAAAAUACAAAAAUUAGCUGGGCGUGGUGGCGCAUGCCUGUAAUGUCAGCUACCCAGGAGGCUGAGGCAGGAGAAUUGCUUGAACCCGGAAGGUGGAGGCUACAGUGAGCAAAGAUCUCGCACCACUGUACUGCAGCCUGGCGGCAGAGCCAGACUCUGUCUCGCAAAAAAAAAUAAAAAAUAAUAAUAAAAAAAAGAUGAUUUCUCUUCUUCUUUCUCGAGUUCUGUUUGUGCAGCAGUAGUGACACUAAUCACAACUUUAAAGCAAAC